UACAGAGGUCUCAAGCGUUGUUCGGAUUCAUUGGGCAUAAAGGGUGUGUAGGUGGCGCCGUAAGUCGGGUGUGAAAUUUCGGAGCUUAACUCCGAAACUGCAUUCGAUACUGCCGUGCUUGAGGACUGGAGAGGAGACUGGAAUUUACGGUGUAGCGGUGAAAUGCGUAGAUAUCGUAAGGAAGACCAGUGGCGAAGGCGGGUCUCUGGACAGUUCCUGACGCUGAGGCACGAAGGCCAGGGGAGCAAACGGG
rnacentral:rRNA from 1 species